CGAGUGGCGAACGGGUGAGUAAUAUAUCGGAACGUACCCAAGAGUGGGGGAUAACGUAGCGAAAGUUACGCUAAUACCGCAUACGAUCUAAGGAUGAAAGCAGGGGAUCUUCGGACCUUGUGCUCCUGGAGCGGCCGAUAUCUGAUUAGCUAGUUGGUGAGGUAAAGGCUCACCAAGGCCACGAUCAGUAGCUGGUCUGAGAGGACGACCAGCCACACUGGAACUGAGACACGGUCCAGACUCCUACGGGAGGCAGCAGUGGGGAAUUUUGGACAAUGGGCGAAAGCCUGAUCCAGCAAUGCCGCGUGAGUGAAGAAGGCCUUCGGGUUGUAAAGCUCUUUUGUCAGGGAAGAAACGGUGAGGGCUAAUAUCCUUCGCUAAUGACGGUACCUGAAGAAUAAGCACCGGCUAACUACGUGCCAGCAGCCGCGGUAAUACGUAGGGUGCAAGCGUUAAUCGGAAUUACUGGGCGUAAAGCGUGCGCAGGCGGUUUUGUAAGUCUGACGUGAAAUCCCCGGGCUCAACCUGGGAAUUGCGUUGGAGACUGCAAGGCUAGAAUCUGGCAGAGGGGGGUAGAAUUCCACGUGUAGCAGUGAAAUGCGUAGAGAUGUGGAGGAACACCGAUGGCGAAGGCAGCCCCCUGGGUCAAGAUUGACGCUCAUGCACGAAAGCGUGGGGAGCAAACAGGAUUAGAUACCCUGGUAGUCCACGCCCUAAACGAUGUCUACUAGUUGUCGGGUUUUAAUUAACUUGGUAACGCAGCUAACGCGUGAAGUAGACCGCCUGGGGAGUACGGUCGCAAGAUUAAAACUCAAAGGAAUUGACGGGGACCCGCACAAGCGGUGGAUGAUGUGGAUUAAUUCGAUGCAACGCGAAAAACCUUACCUACCCUUGACAU
rnacentral:sRNA from 1 species